CAGCGUGCGGACACCCCAGCCACGCCCAUCAUCCGUGCGGAAGAUGCAGAGGUCAUAGCGGAUGCCUUUCUGUACCACGCGGUUGGGGCAGUCAUAGCCGCAGCGGCAGCGGGAGUUGCACUCGUAGAUGGGCAGCCCGGCGCGCAGCCGCACCUGACCCUGGUCAUUAUAGGCAAACUUGUGCAGUGAUGCCCCAGGGCAGCAGCCUCCAGCGGGUGCCCACAGACAGUCCUGGCACUCACAACCCACUGCCACCUGGUUGAGGGUGAUGCCCUCACCCACACGGUACUCGUUGAUGUAUACGAAAGCCCGCGGGGGGCCGUCCAGGUCCACCUCGUUCUCCACCGUGAUGCGUCCCAGGUGGCUGCGUUUGGCAUUGAGCUCCUGCUCCCAGCGCCGGAGCGCCCGCCUCUGCUUGGCCUUCUGUACCAGGUAGUUGGCCAAGCUUGGGUCCAGGUGCCGAGGUGGCUUUGACCGUUGGUGCCGCCGGAGCAGCUCCCUUUCUAAGUCCUUGUGGAACUGCUUGAGAAUGCGCACACACUUGAGAUUCUGCCGUGGCUCCCAGGUGCUCUCUGAGUCUGGGUAUCCACGCCAUUUUACCAGGUAAUACUCUUGUUCCUGUUGGGGGACCAGGGGAUGGAGGGGGGGCACCAUAAGUGGCAAAACCCUUGGACCAGCACUCCUGGGACUGACAUCCCAAAACCAGUGGAGAGCACCCAAACCAUCCCCUCAUCUCUUCUGGAAUGAUUCCAUGCAGUGGUUAAAAAGCAUGGGCUCUAGGGGUGCCUGGGUGGCUCAGUUGAGCAGCUGACUCUUGAUUUCGGCUCAGGUCACGAUCCCAGGGUCAAGGGAUUGAGCCCUCUGUCAGGCUGCGCCAGGAGCAUGGCACUUGCUUGAGAUUCUCUCUGUCUUGGUCUCUGUCUCUCUCUCUCCUCUACACCCCACCCCGCCAUAUAAAGAAAAAAACAUGGGCUCUAGACUGAGUAUCCCUAGGUUCAAAUCCCAUUCUCCCCCUUAUUAUUGCCCAAAUUCCAAGUUUUAAUUUAACCUGCUUCCUCCUCUCUCUUUCCUCUCAUCAGCUCCCUCCCUCUAGCUGUUCAGGCCCCAACUCUUGGGAGUCAUGACUGACUUCUCACUCCCACAUCCACCCUCAGUAAACCCUGUCAGCUCACCUUCACACUACAUCCAGAAUCCGACCACUUCAAACCAUCGUCACUGCCACCAGUGUCAACCCUUGCCUGGAUUGCGGUAGUAUCCUCCUCGCUGGCCCCCCCCCAGGUCUACCCUGGCCCCUACAGUCCAUUCCCCACUCAGCAGCCAGAGGGAUCUUUUCUUGCAGAGAGGCAGCUAUACGAUACUGUUUAACUACACAGAUUCUACAGUCAGACCCUCAAUCUGCUGCUCCCUGGCUGUGUGGCCUUAGGCAAGUUAUUUAACUGUGCUGGGCCUCAGUUUCCUCAUCUAUAAAUAAGAAAAAAAGCUAACAUUUUUACAGUAUUCAGUAUGUAGUAGGUACUGUUCUAACCACUUUAAUCCUCAUAACUCUAUAGGAGCUAGACAUGGAUAGUCAUCAUCUCCACUUUACAGAUGAGGAAAAUGAACCACAGAGAAUCUGUGUAAGUAUCCCGGGGUUACAGGACCAAAACCUGAACCCAAGCAUGCUGGCUCCACUCUUUAUCCUGCCAUUACCUCCUCUGGCACUGGUAAUAGUUCCCAUUUUGCAUUGUUGUUGGGAGGAUUAAAGCAGUUUCUGAGAGGAAGUGCCCAGCCCACUCAAAGUGCUCAAUAACUGCUAGCUAUCAUCAUCUCUAGUCCUGGACUCAGCAUCUCAAUCUUUGGUCUGUAUUCCUGUGGAGGUGGCAAGAGAGACUUAUUUUAUUUGGGGAUUCAUUCUGGCUCCUGCCUCCCUGAGGAAGCCACUUAGUUUCCUCACCUGUAAAACAAGGAUGAUCUAAGAAGGCCUACUAAUCCUAAUUUUUUAAGAUCAGAGGAGAAAACUCCCUUUGGAAACAGAUGCAGGCAGUGGGGAGCAAGGGGGCAGUAAGCCAGCUUCCUUGACACACCCCUGCCCUGGCCAUGGUCACCCCAGACUCACGCGGAUCUUUUUGUAAUCACACAGGUACUCGACUUCAAAGUCAUAGAGAUUCCUCUUGGAGAUGCCGAGGGCAGGGCAGGAGAGC
rnacentral:lncRNA from 1 species